GACGUAGGAGGCAAGCGUUAUCCGGAGUAACUGGGCGUAAAGGGCGGGUAGGUGGUUGUGUAAGUUGGUUAUGAAAGCUCCUGGCUAAACUGGGAGAGGUUGACCAAGACUGCAGAACUUGAGUGGAGAAGAGGUAAACGGAAUUCCGCGUGUAGUGGUGAAAUGCGUAGAGAUGCGGAAGAACACCAGUGGCGAAGGCGGUUUACUGGUCUCCAACUGACACUGAGCCGCGAAAGCAUGGGUAGCGAACGGG
rnacentral:rRNA from 1 species